AGUUCAGUGGCUGAUUUAAAGUACAAGUCUUUUAAACUUGUUAUGGUAUUUAUACCCUGAGUUG
rnacentral:tRNA from 1 species